rnacentral:rRNA from 1 species
CAUGCAGUCGAGCGGAACGAGUUAUCUGAACCUUCGGGGAACGAUAACGGCGUCGAGCGGCGGACGGGUGAGUAAUGCCUAGGAAAUUGCCCUGAUGUGGGGGAUAACCAUUGGAAACGAUGGCUAAUACCGCAUAAUACCUWCGGGUCAAAGAGGGGGACCUUCGGGCCUCUCGCGUCAGGAUAUGCCUAGGUGGGAUUAGCUAGUUGGUGAGGUAAUGGCUCACCAAGGCGACGAUCCCUAGCUGGUCUGAGAGGAUGAUCAGCCACACUGGAACUGAGACACGGUCCAGACUCCUACGGGAGGCAGCAGUGGGGAAUAUUGCACAAUGGGCGCAAGCCUGAUGCAGCCAUGCCGCGUGUGUGAAGAAGGCCUUCGGGUUGUAAAGCACUUUCAGUCGUGAGGAAGGURGURKUGUUAAUAGCWSUAUCAUUUGACGUUAGCGACAGAAGAAGCACCGGCUAACUCCGUGCCAGCAGCCGCGGUAAUACGGAGGGUGCGAGCGUUAAUCGGAAUUACUGGGCGUAAAGCGCAUGCAGGUGGUUUGUUAAGUCAGAUGUGAAAGCCCGGGGCUCAACCUCGGAAUAGCAUUUGAAACUGGCAGACUAGAGUACUGUAGAGGGGGGUAGAAUUUCAGGUGUAGCGGUGAAAUGCGUAGAGAUCUGAAGGAAUACCGGUGGCGAAGGCGGCCCCCUGGACAGAUACUGACACUCAGAUGCGAAAGCGUGGGAGCAAACAGGAUUAGAUACCCUGGUAGUCCACGCCGUAAACGAUGUCUACUUGGAGGUUGUGGCCUUGAGCCGUGGCUUUCGGAGCUAACGCGUUAAGUAGACCGCCUGGGGAGUACGGUCGCAAGAUUAAAACUCAAAUGAAUUGACGGGGGCCCGCACAAGCGGUGGAGCAUGUGGUUUAAUUCGAUGCAACGCGAAGAACCUUACCUACUCUUGACAUCCAGAGAACUUUCCAGAGAUGGAUUGGUGCCUUCGGGAACUCUGAGACAGGUGCUGCAUGGCUGUCGUCAGCUCGUGUUGUGAAAUGUUGGGUUAAGUCCCGCAACGAGCGCAACCCUUAUCCUUGUUUGCCAGCACUUCGGGUGGGAACUCCAGGGAGACUGCCGGUGAUAAACCGGAGGAAGGUG